rnacentral:rRNA from 1 species
AAUGAACGUUGGCGGCGUGGAUUAGGCAUGCAAGUCGAGCGAGAACCCGCAAGGGGGACAGCGGCAAACGGGGUAGUAAUGUGUCGGAACGUGCCCUCUGGACGGGGAUAGCGGCGGGAAACUGCCGGUAAUACCCGAUGAACUCGAGAGAGCAAAGGUGUGAUUCCGCCGGCGGAGCGGCCGACAUGGUAUUAGCUAGUUGGCGGGGUAACGGCCCACCAAGGCUUUGAUGCCUAGGGGAUGUGAGAGCAUGAUCCCCACCAUUGGGACUGAGACACUGCCCAGACACCUACGGGUGGCUGCAGUCGAGAAUCUUCGUCAAUGGGCGAAAGCCUGAACGAGCGACGCCGCGUGUGGGAUGAAGGCCUUUGGGUUGUAAACCACUGUCGAGGGGGAUGAAGGCAUUCAGGUCCUCCUGAAUGUUUGACAGAGCCCUGGAGGAAGCACGGGCUAAGUUCGUGCCAGCAGCCGCAGUAACAC